UCUCUGCUUCCAUUUUUUCUCUCCUUUUAGCCUCAAAAGGAGCAAUCCGAGUUAUCUUUUUAAAAUGUACGCCAUAUGAAGUCAUCCUUCUGUUCAAAAUCUGCCAAUGAAAUCCAAAGUCCAUGUGAGAACCUUCACCUCUCCGACGUCAUUUCCCACUUUCCCCUACUGUGAAUUUCAGCCACACUGCUUCCCUGCUGUUCCUCUAUUAAUCUUGCAUGCUCCAGUCAUGGCUCUUCUCCCUCUGCCUGAAUCAGACCCCUACUCUUACUCCCAGACUCCUAUCCUUGAAGUCCUUUCUUAAAUGUUACCUUCUCUCAAAGACUUAACCUGGACACUCCAUUCCAAAUUGCAACCCUCAGCCGCUAACACUCCCUCAUCACUUCCCUCCCCUUAUCUUUUUUCCUUAGCAUUUACCACCAAACCCAAAACACAGCUUACUUCUGCUUA
rnacentral:lncRNA from 1 species